AUUUGAUGAUGUGGACAUUGAAUUUGUAACUCCCCAAAUCUUUCCCAAGCUUCGAAGAAUUCCUCCAUAUGGUUUUGUCUAAAAGUUUGGAUCUUGUUUCUUAACU
rnacentral:snoRNA from 1 species